CCCUGGUGUGUCCUCUGACUAAGUAGUUCUUCCCGUACUGCAUCGCUGCCCAGAAUAUUCUGAAGACAGCCUCCCACCCCACCCCACCUCAUCAUGCUCUUCCAGGACAGCUACAGGAAGAAAAGGAGAUAACAGAAUCUAAUGAUGUCCCAUAAGAUCUCCAGUCAAGGUGUGAACAUGAAGCUCCAAGUAUCUGCCUGGAAACCCUGUUGCCUGGAGACCACUCUUGAAGAACAUCCACUGCUGUGGCCUCUUAAAGAUUUAAGACAUCUAAUGAACAGCUGACAGAAAUCAUCAAUUUGCUCCUCAGGACAUGGAUCGACCUGGAAGCCAUUAUCCUCAGCAAACUGAUGCAGGAACAGAAAACCAAACACUGCGCGUUCUCACUUGUAAGUGGGACCUGAACAAUGAGAACACAUGAACACAAGGAGGGGAACAACACAUACUGGGUCCCGUCAGGGGGUGCGGAGGGAGGGAGAGCAUCACGAUAAAUAGCUAAUGCAUGCGGGGCUUACUACCUAGGUGAUGGGUUGAUAGGUUCAGCAAACCACCAUGGUACAUGUUUACCUGUUUAUCUAUGUAACAAACCUGCACAUCCUGCACAUGUAUCUUGGAACUUAAAAUAAAAUAAAAUUAAAAACUUUUAAAAGAGAAUAAAGUAGGGAGAUGAAUUAAGAGGCACUAAUCCAGGUGAAACAGUUUUAAGAGAUUAAAUCAGCAUCCUUGGUUUCCCCAUCAAAUAACCCAUCAUGCUAACCAGCCCAGACUGAUAUUGCUUUACAUGUAUACGAAAGACAUCUGGUUAAAUCAAAUAGCACUGCCAAUCAAUUUUCACCUAGAGAUAUGCUCAGGUAUUUUCUUAGUUCUUACAUUUUGUAAAUAGGUGGUAUGCUGAAUGGACAUCAAAUUCAAUAACAAAUUCCCAUAAGAAACAUCAG
rnacentral:lncRNA from 1 species